GCUUGUUUUUAUUAUUAUUUUUUUCAAUUUUUUUAUCCUAUUAUCUAUUUAUUUAUUUUUUGUUUGUUUGUUUGUUUACAGGGUGUGUGUGUGUUUGUUUGUGUUCCUGCUGUUCAAUAUUGCAGCUUGUUUUCUUUAUUAUUGUUAUUUUGUGUUUUAUUCUAUUUCAGUGUUCUGAGGGAGUCUUCAGGUGUUUUUGGGGUGUUUUGGGGUGUUUUUGGAGUGUUUUGGGGUGUUUUUGGUGUGUUGUGAAGUGUUUUGAUGUGUUUUGGGGUGGUUAAGGGGUGUUUUGAAGUGGUUUGUGGUGUUGUGGAGGUGUUUUGGGAUUUUUGGUGUGUUUUAAAGUGUUUUGGGAUGUUUUUGGAAUGUUUUGAUGUGUUUUGAGAUGUUUAGGAGUAUUUUUGGAGUAUUUUGGUGUGUUUUUGGAGUGUUUUGGGAUGUGUUUGUAGUGUUUUGGGGUGUUUUGGGGUAUUUUGAAGGUGUUUUGGUGUGUUUUUGGAGUGUUUUGGGGUAUUUUGGGAUGUUUUGGUGUGUUUUGGGUUAUUUUGAGAGUGUUUUGGUGUGUUUUUGGAGUGUUUCUGGGUGUUUUGGAGUAUUUUGAGGGUGUUUAAAGGUGUUGUGGUAGUUUAAAAUAUAUUGUUAGUUUACUUUUUUUUAACUUUUUAUUUUCUUAUGCAUUAUUUUAUUUCUUAUUUAUAUUGUGGUGUGUUGUCGGUGUGUCCUAACCUAACCUAACCAGCCUACCCUCUCCUAACCUCCCCUCAACCCACAGGCACUGAUUGGCGUGACAUUCAGCAUAGGCUUCACCGUCGGGCACACUGUGGGGGCUGCGUUCUCCCGCUGGGGAAGUACUGGGUGGUUCGCGGCCUCGGCUGUCUACGCACGCACUCUCACUGUGGCUAACAUAAUAUUCUUUGCUGUCUUCUUCCAGGAAUCGCUGCCUGAGGGCAGAAGGAGGAGGGACAUCGGUGCCAGUUUGACCGAGGCUUGGGAGGUGAUCAAUCCUAGGGCUCUGUUCUCCAUCAGCUGUGUCAAGGGCCUGGGCAGAGAAGCCUGGAGUUAACGCUGAUCUUCGCGACCCACCACAAGCAUAGUUACGACUCGUUGGCGCAGGACCGCAAGUUUUCCUUCCUGGGCCUGGUCAUGGCAAUUACACAGAGAGGGUUUAUGCGAAGUGUUAAGACUGGAACUGAAAAAGCACCUGCCAAUUAGGCACACACCUACAUUGUGAUGCAGCUCCUUGGAGGUGGAGAGCUGGCUGCCUCAGAGGAUCAGGAAACACGAGAGGUUCACAGAGGCUCGCCUCGGGCUUCGGUCGUCGUGAGGAACCUGGUGUCAGCAGUUCACUACGUGCACAGGAAAAGCAUCAGUGUUCACGGAGACCUAAAGCCAGACAGGGGUGAAAAGGGUUGGUGUUGAGGAUAGACAGAAAAGAAAAGAAAGGAAAGGUAAAAAAAGGAAGUUUUUUUGCAUUGAUUUUCCAUCUGCUUAUUUUAAAGAAUUUAUUGCAUGGAAUAUUAUUGAUCUCCAUCAUUUGUAUGGCCUUUAUAAUAAAAAGUAUGAAUUUA